GGCGAACGGGUGAGUAACACGUAAGAAUCUACCUUUAGGACGGGGAUAACUUCUGGAAACGGAUGCUAAUACCCGAUAUGCUGUGGAGUGAAAGGAAUUUCGCCUAAAGAUGAUCUUGCGUCUGAUUAGUUAGAUAGUGUGGUAAUGGCGCACUAUGGCGACGAUCAGUAGCUGGUCUGAGAGGAUGGACAGCCACAUUGGAACUGAGACACGGUCCAAACUCCUACGGGAGGCAGCAGCGGGGAAUUUUCCGCAAUGGGCGAAAGCCUGACGGAGCGACGCUGCGUGAGGGAUGACGGCCUGCGGGUUGUAAACUUCUUUUCUCGAAGAAGAAUAAAUGACGGUAUUCGAGGAAUAAGCAUCGGCUAACUCUGUGCCAGCAGCCGCGGUAAGACAGAGGAUGCAAGUGUUAUUCGGAUUGAUUGGGCGUAAAGCGUCUGUAGGCGGUUUGGAAAGUCUUUUGUGAAAUUCUUCAGCUCAACUGGGGGUCCGCAAAAGAAACUUCUAGGCUUGAGGGAAGUAGAGGUACAGGGAAUUUCCGGUGGAGCGGUGAAAUGCGUAGAUAUCGGAAGGAACACCAAUAUGGCGAAGGCACUGUACUGGGCUUUACCUGACGCUAAGAGACGAAAGCUAAAGGAGUGAUUAGGAUUAGAUACCCUAGUAAUUUUAGCCGUAAACGAUGGAAACUCACUGCCGAGCCGGUAUUCGGAGCGGUGGUCAAGCUAACGCGUGAAGUUUCCCGCCUGGGGACUACGCAUGCAAAUGUGAAACUCAAAGGAAUUGACGGGGACCCGCACAAGCGGUGGAGUAUGUGGUUUAAUUCGAUGCAACGCGAAAAACCUUACCAAGGUUUGAAAUCAUUUCAAAACUCUUUGAAAGAAGAGCCUCCUUCGGGAUGGAAUGACAGGUGGUGCAUGGCUGUCGUCAGCUCGUGUUGUGAAAUGUCAAGUUAAGUCUUGUAACGAGCGCAACCCAUGUCUUUUGUUGCUGUUUACAGUGCUUAAAAGAGACUGCCGCUCUACAGCGGAGGAAGGUGUGGAUGAUGUCAAGUCAGCAUGCCCCUUAUAUCUUGGGCUACACACGUACUACAAUG
rnacentral:rRNA from 1 species